AUGUCGUUGCUUAUGACUCCUUCACAUCUGGGAAGAGAGGGCAGAGGCAAGGAGGAGGAGGACGAAGAAGAAGAAGAGGGUUUUGCUACCAUGGAAGAGGAGAGGGCCUUUCCCAGUGACUUGUCAGGUUUCGAGUUCUUCAUGAUCAUGCUCUCCAAUUCCUUGAAGAAACUGAGGAUGCCGGACAAGUUCGCCAAGGUGCUCGCCGGACGUGAGCCCCGGGAAGUGAAGCUGCGGGAGGCCGGCAGCGGGCGCCACAGCCUGUGUGACGUGAAGGUGGUGCUGGACGCCGACGGCCACAUGUACCUAGGGCGCGGCUGGGAGCAGUUCGCCCGCGCGCACGACCUGCGGCUCGGCUACAUCCUCCUGUUCAGCUUCGACGGCGACGCCGUGCUCACCGUCAAGGUGUUCGACGUGAGCAUGUGCCGCAGGCACUACCAGCGCGACGACGAUGCCAGCAGCGGGAGCAGCAAUGACGGCAGCGGCUCGGCGGAGACGGAGGUCGACGAGGCUCCGACGUCGCAGUUCACGGUCAGGCUGAGCGGCUGCCACUUCCUGGAGAAGCAGCAGCAGUAUCUGAACGUGCCGCUGGAGUUCCAUGAGGCGCACGGGUACGCGGAGAGGAGCAAGGUGGUGCUGCGGAUGAGCGGCAAGUCGUGGCCGGUGACCCUGAAGCACACCAACCGGGCGGGCGGCAAGACCCGGUCGUCCUUCAGGUACGGGUGGCACCAGUUCCUGGUGGACAACCGCCUCACCGUCGGCGACACCUGCUUCUUCCGCGCGCUCCGCGGCGGCGAGGACCACGAGCUCAAGGUGCAGGUCCGCAAGCUGGACGGCUCCUUCGUGGACUGA
rnacentral:rRNA from 1 species